UGGAAAGAGUCUGGCCCCAUCCAGUUGACUCUCACACUUCAGAUAUUUAGAAAGUGCAGGACGGUGUACCCCCAUAGUGAGCAAUACAGUCAGGCUGGUAACUCUGGACAAGGAGAAAGUUAAGUGGCAUUCUGCACUGGUAUAGCUGGAUCCGUGGACGUGCAAAGAGACACUGAUGUUAUCUGUUUGGACUUCGCUCAGCCACCUGCCAUGAAAGAUCAUCCACCUGUGUGCAUCAAGUGCAGGUGAAUGCAUCAGACAUCCCCAGGGAUGAAGCAGAGUUGUCUUAGCCCUCAGGUGAUGCCCUCCACUGAACUGACAGAAGUCAAAAGAACUUCACCUGAUUCUGCACCUUGCAAGCUAGUCACUGCAAUGGAUGGCUGCUUCUAGCAGGGCUGAAGCAGACUGCCUGCACGAACUGCUGCACAAACUGCUACAGGUGUUAGAUAACGAGGAGUAGCCUGAUCUCCUGGUGUUACACAUCAUCUCAGUAACAAUGGAACUGCUUGAAAUUUUAUAUUUACCCAGAAAUGUCACUACAAAGAAAGUUGAAAUGAAACAUUUCCAAAUUCUGAAUUAUCAUUAAUCAGAGCAAGAAUAAAAACCACCACGAAAUUACAGUUGAGUUGGUUCUGAAGUACUAUCUCACUGUCAUGUUAUUUGACUAAAUACAUAGCCAAGAAUUUGGUUUUAAGUAAAUGUAUAAGUUUGCUUUUACAGAAGUUAUUCAUUUGGAUGUUCGUGUUUGCGUCUUACCUCCUGAGCUUAACUACACUAUUAGUGAGACAUUAAUCUGAAGUAAGAUAAAAACCUCUUCUCUUCUACUUUUCAUUCUUUAAAUCUUAAGUUUUUUGUACAUGUAAGUUGAAAGUUUUGUUAAACAUUCCUACUGGUCAGGUGGAUAGAUGGAGCAUUUUACCAGCUUUUGGUUUGAAACAAGCUCUGAUUGAGAUUAAGCAGUUGUGGUUAGUGAUGGUCAUUUGGGACAUCAUCUUUAUGACAAAGGCUUCCCUCUUUGAGAGGGAUCAUGCUCCAUUCUUUCACUUACAACCAAGAUACAGUUGUUUGGUCUAGUUUCAUUGCCGAAAUGCUUUUGGAAAACACUCUAGGUAUUAACUCAAUGCGUGUCUUUGUGGUCUCAGAAAUGUUAAGCUAGUAUCUAGGUGAAUGUUUUCAGGAGAUUUUUUAUGCAUACGUUUGGUGUUCCACCUGAGUUAUGGGGGCAUGUUGUAAUGUAUGGUGCAUGGCCAGUAAGCUGUCCAAAUGCAGAGAGUAAGGAUAGGUUAAAUAUAAAGCCAAGAAAGAGCAGCCAGCUUUUAGAGUGAAAAGUCAUGUGGCACUUAGGGACGUGGUUUAGUGAGCAUGGUGGGGAUGGGUCAACGGUUGGACCAAGUAGAAAAACUUGCAUUGCCUUUUGCAUAUCUUUUUUUAGGGCACAGGAUUAAAAAAAAGUAACAUCCAGUAAGUUUCUGAAAAGUACAUUUUAUUUCUUCUUUGCUGUUUUGUUUUGUUAACAAAGAUACACCACUGAUACCGAAUGUAAAUAUAUUCUUAAAAUUGCAUAACUUAUGAAGCAAGGAUCCUUGGUCAUUGCAGGAGUCGUGAGCUUGCCUCUGUGUGAUGCUAAGCACUGUAUUCAAUAGCACAGGUGUAUGCUAUCAUGUGAGCACAUUAAUGUACACACAUACAUGCUUUUCUUUUCUCCUUCAUCUAAGUGAAGCUGCAUCUGUUUUAGAAUGUAGAUAAUCAACUCAGUUCUGAAACACUAGUUCAUUUAGCAGCUAUUUUUUACUAAGAAUUACCUUAUUAGGUCUCCUAUUGUUUCAGAUUCAGUUCUUCUUACUAAGGGAUUUGUAUCUGCAUGGUAUAAGCAACUUUUCUCAAAACAGCUGCUUUGUUUCAUUUUGUUCACCAAACUGAGAUUCUGAUACUUUUCAGCUCCUUUUGGUUCCAGGAGGAUUCAUUUCUGUGAACAACAGAGCCAAGUGUAAUUA